UCAAUAUAUUUUUUGAUAAAAGAUCUUACAAUUGAGGUCAUUUACAAAUAGUUAAAAGCUAAUCUUAAGUAAAUACCAUGAAAUAGGAUUGAUAAUACAAAUAAUGAUAAAAAUAAUACAAAUAAUGAUAAUUAUAAUGAUGAUAAAUUAAAAGUUAUAAGAACAAUAAGAUAAUUAUAUGAUAAUAAAUCAAUAUCGAUUUUAAAACAACAAUUGAAUAUAAUACACAGACAGGAAAAUUACAAACAGUUGUGUACUGACAAAACGUAACAACCUACCAUGUAACUAAAACAUUUACUGCAAAAAAAAGUAACUAUUUAAUAAAAAUAAUAAUCUUAAUAUCAAUAAUCAUAAUAAAAACGAUAAAAGUAAAAUAGUUACUUCAUUAAAAAAUAACAAUAAAUGAACAAAACAAAAAUUAUUCAAUUAAAAGUAUAGAGUUUUCAUAAUAAAUGACAUUAUUAAAAUAAAAAAGUAAAUCAUAUCAAGCAAACACUUAUUGUCACUCCAAAAUAAUAAAAUUUAGAAAAUAUUAUUUUCUCUUUCUUACAAAAGGGAGCAAUUUUUAUAUUUUAUUUUAAUUCCUUUUUAAUUACUUUCCAUUUUCGAAUGUAUUUUUUCUUUUAACUUUGGUUUUUUUUUCUUUCCUUUUUCUUUUCUUGUUUCUUUUUUCUUUUGUUAAUUAAUUUGAUUUUUUUUUAAAUUUUUUUAGUUAGAUAACAAAUGGUAUUUGUGGAUGGUCCUUUAAGACUCACCACAUUUACUAUUAAAAAAUGUAAAAAUUAUAUGAAUGAUUAGAUUGAUUAUGAUAAAAGUAUUUUGUAUAACUCUAGUUAGAUGUUUUAUGUAUAUUUUUACAAAUAUAUAUUUUUUUCUAUAGUAUAUAAUUUUUUUGUUUUAUUUUGAAGUAUUUUUCUAACAUUUUUAUACUAUUUUGAUUUUUUUUAGUUACAUUUGACUAAACAAGAGAAAAAUUACCUAUGGCAAAAGUUUAUUCAGACUUUUUUUAAAUCAACGACAGUGAAACCCUGAUAAAUUUAGAAGUAAACAAAUUUCAGAAAAGUCUUUGUCCUACCAGGUUAUGAUCAUGAUGAUUGCCAUGAUGAUAUGAUAUACCUGAUAUUGAUGAGCAUAUGUAAUUUAGAUGGUGAUCAUCAUAUCACGAUGUUGGUUCACUUUCAGUAUUUUAUAGAAAUGUAUAUUAUCACAAAUUUGUAUAUUUAAGUUCAGAAACUGACACUCCACAGUUACUGAAAAAAAAAGAAAGUCGUAAAUAAUAAAAAAAGAUACUUGCUCCAGCCCGUGCUAUUCCUCCUUUAACAUUUUUAUGUAUUGAAAAUUUGACUUCUUCGGAUUUUAUAAAAUUAAAUAACUUUUUAAAACAAGGCUCUGCUUCUGAAGUUUUAGAAAAGGAUGUUUUUUUAUACUUUUUUCAUUUGAAUAUUUUUUUUUAUUUUUGUAACUGAAUUCCAAUAUGUUCUGAAACAAUCUUUUAGUUAUUUUAUGUAAAUAGGACACAAAUAUGCAUCAAAAUUUAUCAAGUUAAAUUGAUGGACAUAUUUUUUUUGAAAGCAAUGAGUUAGAUCAUCCACUUCUAUGGUAUUAUAGUUUAUUGACUGGAAAGUUUUGUUUUUUUAAUGAAGAAUUUAUUUAAAACAGUGCUUUAUAAGGUGACAAUUUAUUUUUAGCGCUUUAAUUCUAAAAAAUGUGUUUUAAUUGAAGAAAAUUGAAAAUAUUUUGUUGUUGCCUAUUGUUGCCUAUUAUAUCAACUUAGUUGCGUGCUGAUCAGUUGCUGGAUGAAUUAAAGCUCUCAUAGAUCCCUAAAUCAGUAUUGUAUCAUCAGUUGCAUCUAAUGCAAAAAUUUAAGCACAUAAUGCUGUGAAAAUAAAAGUUUUAACCUCAGGAGCAUCAGGAGAAGAGUUUAAACAGUAACUGAAGAGAUAUUUUUUCUUUUUGGGGAUCGAAAUAGCGGACGAAAAGCUCGAGAGGAACGUUCUUUGUAUAAAAAGUUAUUUGCUUAAAAUAAUAAUUUGAACUUUUAA